UCGGACUGCUCAGUAACACGUGGAUAACCUACCCUUGGGACUGGAAUAACCCCGGUAAACUGGGGAUAAUACCGGAUAGAUCAGGGAUGCUGGAAUGCACCUUGAUCCAAAGCUCCGGCGCCCAAGGAUGGGUCUGCGGCCUAUCAGGUUGUAGUGGGUGUAACGUACCUACUAGCCAACGACGGGUACGGGUUGUGAGAGCAAGAGCCCGGAGAUGGAUUCUGAGACACGAAUCCAGGCCCUACGGGGUGCAGCAGGCGCGAAACCUUUACAAUGUGCGAAAGCAUGAUAAGGGAACUCCGAGUGCCAGUAUCUAAUACUGGCUGUCCUUGUGCCUAAAACGCACAAGAUAGCAAGGGCCGGGUAAGACCGGUGCCAGCCGCCGCGGUAACACCGGCGGCCCGAGUGGUAGCCGCUAUUAUUGGGUCUAAAGGGUCCGUAGCCGGUUCGAUAAGUCCUCUGGGAAAUCUGGUUGCUUAACAAUCAGACUGCCAAGGGAUACUGUCGAACUUGAGACCGGGAGAGGUAAGAGGUACUUCAGGGGUAGGAGUGAAAUCUUGUAAUCCCUGGGGGACCAUCUGUGGCGAAGGCGUCUUACCAGAACGGGUCUGACGGUGAGGGACGAAAGCUGGGGGCGCAAACCGGAUUAGAUACCCGGGUAGUCCCAGCCGUAAACGAUGCUCGCUAUGUGUCAGGUACGGUGUGACCGUAUCUGGUGCCGUAGGGAAGCCGUGAAGCGAGCCACCUGGGAAGUACGGCCGCAAGGCUGAAACUUAAAGGAAUUGGCGGGGGAGCACUACAACGGGUGGAGCCUGCGGUUUAAUUGGACUCAACGCCGGAAAUCUUACCGGGGGAGACAGCAGCAUGAAGGUCAGGCUGAAGACCUUACCAGAUCCGCUGAGAGGAAGUGCAUGGCCGUCGUCAGUUCGUACUGUGAAGCAUCCUGUUAAGUCAGGCAACGAGCGAGACCCGUGCCCACAGUUGCCAGCAUACCCUUCGGGGUGAUGGGUACUUUGUGGGGACCGCCGCUGCUAAAGCGGAGGAAGGAGCGGGUUACGGUAGGUCAGUAUGCUCCGAAACUCCCGGGCUACACGCGGGCUACAAUGGUUGGGACAAUGGGA
rnacentral:rRNA from 1 species